rnacentral:rRNA from 1 species
UACGGGGGGGGCAAGCGUUGUUCGGAAUUACUGGGCGUAAAGGGCGCGUAGGCGGGUGGACAAGUCACUCGUGAAAGCCCACGGCUCAACCGCGGAAUUGCGUUAGAUACUGGCUGGCUUGAGUCCGGGAGAGGUGAGUGGAAUUCCCAGUGUAGAGGUGAAAUGCGUAGAUAUUGGGAGGAACACCGGUGGCGAAGGCGGCUCACUGGACCGUUGUUGACGCUGAGGUGCGAAAGCGUGGGGAGCAAACAGG